rnacentral:rRNA from 1 species
UAGGGAAUAUUGGACAAUGGGCGAAAGCCUAAUCCAGCAAUACCGCGUGAAUGAUGAAGGUCUUAGGAUUGUAAAGUUCUUUCGGUGGGGAAGAUAAUGACGGUACCCACAGAAGAAGCACCGGCUAACUUCGUGCCAGCAGCCGCGGUAAUACGAAGGGUGCUAGCGUUAUUCGGAAUCACUGGGCGUAAAGAGUGUAAAGGCUGUUAGAUAAGUUAGUUAUGAAAUCCCUGAGCUCAACUUAGGAACUAUAAUUAAAACUAUCUAGCUAGAGUAUAGUAGGCGAUGGCGGAAUUCUUAGUGUAGGGGUGAAAUCCGUAGAUAUUAAGAGGAACACCGGUGGUGAAGACGGCUAUCUUGACUAUAACUGACGCUACAACACGAAGGCAUGGGUAGCAAACAGG